GGGAUCUGUCCGCGCCGCAGCAACCCCUCCAGCUUUCAGUCAGUCCCCGGCUCCGCCAGGAGGAAGGCAGGAGAGAAGAUUCUAUUCCUCUGGUUCCCGUCCACCACCAGCAGAUCCUGGUUUUGACCCCUUUUCUCUGAAUGAUGCCACUCUCCCAUCAGAGAGGAACAGCAAUGGCUCCAGGAAUCCCAUCUUCAUAGCAGCCCAAAUGGACACAGACACACGUGCAUGGAUAUCACAUGGGUGACAAUGAUGUGACGCAGCCAAGGGAGUGCGCGGAGCAGGGGCCAAGGCAGCAGCUUCCCCACCAGCCAGGUAAAUGCCCUGAUGUCAAGUCCCUAAGAAGCUGGGCUGUUGCCAGAAGCAUCACUAGGUGAGGUAAGGACUCAUGGAGUCACUG